UAAUAGCAGUAUUUCCUAAGCAACCUCUGACAAUAUUACUGAGAGUGCAGAAGCAGAUUUGAUUUGGUAAUCCAUAUUUUCCCUACGUGGAAAUGAACACAGACUAGGCACUGUGGAUGCCUCUGCCCCGCUAGUCAAGGAACCAGCAGAAACCAGCCCGUAAACCAUUGACAAGGAAUUCUUGGAUUGUCCCUCACACGCUGCUCUGAAGCAGAGGAUGGGACAAGAGGACAAAGGAAACUCUUCAAAAAAUACAGGAGCAGGAUGAAUGUGGCCCUGGAGAGGAUCAGCGACCAUCCAGCCAGGCAAUGGAGUCUGGAACUGCUGAUGGCACUGAUGGCAUCAGUCUGGAACUGAUGGCCCGAGGGCCCCUGAACACACAGCCUGCCUGCACUGCCCAGGUUGUGACACGGAGCACAUAGCACAGCCAUCUUACGGCCUGCUUCCCCAGGGAGGGAGAUGGAUCUAAGCUGAUGGGAAAAGGAAGCAGAAAAAAGUGGUGAGAA